GUUCAGAAUAAAAGGAUGCAACAGGCCAAGAUUCUGGAGGAAGAAAAGAAGCCAGGAUUAGAAUCAAAAUCAGCAUAGGAGGGGUGAAAUUCCUUCCCCGUGUAUAUGGAGGAAGGUUUUGAUUCUAGAGUCCAUCCCGACUUCUGGAAACUCUCCCCAGCUCUUGGGCUCCUUUCCAUCAUCCAGACGGUAGCAGGUUCUCUACAGCAUUCCUUCCACCUUGAGCCUACCAAAACCUUCAGGUAGAAGGUCAGACUUUCACCCAUCUAAUGUCAGUGGAUUCAGAGAAGAAAUAUUCAAUCCCAGACACCACCACAACCAGAAAUCAAUGAGAGCAUUUGCAUUUGGAUCCUUGAAGAUUCACUACCCAGGAAUGAGGGUCCUUGAAGAUCCACCAUCCAGGAAUGAGGGUACUUCCCAGAGCCCAUCUCAAGACCUGCUUCAGUUUCCCUCUGCCACAUUCUGUCUUGUUUUAUCUGCUCUUAUGUUCUUCCUGCAACUUUCACCCCAAGCCAACAAAGUCCAGUACUAUGGUGACUGAUGGAAAAAUAAAUACAUUUUCAAAAUGGAACAGCCAUUAAAAAUGAAGAACAAUAACUAUAAAAUUCCAGUUCCUGAGGAGGGCCCCUGAGGGCAGGAACUGUAUCAUAAGGAUUUAAAAUGCUUUAUUGAGAUGUAUUUCACAUACUGCAUGAUUCACCCAUUUAAAGUAUACACAGAAUUCAGUGGUUUCUAGUAUAUUCACAGACCUGUGUCUGUUAGCAGUCACUUCCCAUUUCCCCUCAGCAUCACUCAUCCUCAGCAGCCACUGAGGUGGUCUUUCAUUAGAUGUUUCUCUACUCGAAACAAUUCAUAUAAACAGAAUCAUAUGGCACAUGGAAUUUGCAUGUUUUCAGAAGUCCAUAUUGUGAUACGUGUCAACACUUCACUUUUUUUUAUUGCCAAAUAAUAUUUUAUUUCAAUGUCUCUAACCGGCUGACGUAAGUUGCCUCCACUUUCAGCUGUUGUAAAUAUUCAGACCGAGCUUUUAGGUAGGCUCAGGGCUUCUUUCCUCCUGGGUGGAAAGUAGAACCUCUGGAUCAUGUGGUAAGCUGAAUGGCUGAGGAGCUAUGAGACUGAUUUUCCAAAGAGCUACAUGGCUUAAUGUUCACAUCAGCAAUGUACACUAACCACUCCAAGUCCUCAUCAGCAUUUGCUAUCAGCUCACUUUUGUUAUUGUUACCACAACCUCCCUACCAGGUGUGAAAUAGUAUUCUACUGUGCCAUUUGUGUCUGUACAUGUCCAUGUGUAUAUAUGUUCUUGUGUGUGGACGCAUGUGGAGGCCAGAGGUCAAUGCCAGGUGUCUUCCUUGGCUAUUCUCUAUCUUACUUUUAAAACAGGUUAAUCUCAUUGAGUUUCUUGUCUAGACUGUGUGGCCAGAAAGUCUAAGGGAUCCCUCUGUUUCUGCUAAUCCAGCUCUGGGGUUAUCGUGUGUACCACCACAUCUGAGUGUUACAUGAAUGAUGGGGAUUUGAACUCAGGUUCUCAUGCUUGCAUGAUAGGUACUUUCCUGGCUGAGCCAUCUCCCCAGCCCCUUGUAGUCUUGGUUUACAGACCCUUGAAAGCUAGUGAUGAAAAUUUUUGUGACUUCAUUGCUAUUUGAAUGUAUUGCUUGGGUGUGUGUGGGGGAGUCUAUUCUACAUUUCCAAUUACUAAGUUUUUAAUCCUUUGUCAUUUUUAAUGGGGGCAUUUGUCUUCGAACCAUUUGAGUUAAUUUUUGCAUGAAAUGUGAAGUAGAACUCUGGCUUAAUCCUCUUAUAUGCAUCUAUCCAAUGAUCCAAGGACUACUUCAAAAGACUAUUAAAUUCCCCAUUAGAGUGUCAUGACACUUGUGUCAGAAAUCGAUGAAUGGGAAAUGUGAGCGCUUACUUUUAUACUCUCUAUUCUUUCCUUGAGUAAAGAUUUUCUGUCCU
rnacentral:lncRNA from 1 species